GGAGGGGGGGGGGCAGGGGCUCUUCAGCAUUUCCUUCUUUAUGGACCGUGGCGAAAUCCGAGUGAACUGGGACGAGGUCAAGCCGUCCCGCCAGACUGGACCGACCGGUCCCGUCGGCGGUCGACCAGCUUCCCGUGACCGGGCACCCCUCCCCGUUCUCGUACGCGCUUGGUGUUUGGUUCGAGUCACCCGUCAUCUGUACCUCACCUCAGAGGCGCUGGAGCCCAUACGUUUCUCUUCAUUAAUGUUAACAAGCAAUCGUAAAAGCAAGAACCUUUUUAACAGCAACAAGAAGUACGAAUCAACUCAAAAGUCCAUCGAGAUCUGCACCAAAGUAUUCGUUCGUUUCCGUCUUUCUUAUGCGAGGCUACGCGGUGUGUAUAUGAGGUACGGAGGGGGGGGGGUCCCCACUUUCCUCUUCUCGUCGGUACGAUGUUUUACGGGGUUUUUUAUUUUAAACGACUGGCUGAUAAGUGACCUUCUCUGGCCGCGACCGAAACUUAAACGAGACCGCCGGAGACGCACUGACCCACCGUCAGAAAGAGAAGAGCGAACCGGCGAAACGUGGCUGCCCCCCCCACCCCAGAUUCGGUUUUUUAUAUAUUUGGUUUAAUUUAAAUGUGGGGGGUGUUUGACUUUUUUUUUUUUUUGAUUAAAAAAUAAUAUUUGUAUUGCUUUUUAUUUUCUCAGGAUUUUGCUUUUUAAAAUAUUUUGUGGUAUUCAAUGCCUGCCUUUUUUAAAGCAUUUUUUCUGUCUUGUGUAUAAUUAUUUUGAUUCUGAUGAUUAUUGCCUUGAUUUGAUUUGAUUUUUUUUUUUUUUUUAAAUACAUGCAAAAACAUACUCUGCCAUUUCCUGCUGUGCGCUUUUUAUGUGCAUUUCAUACGUUGCUCGUUUAACAUCUUCAAACACCUGUAGAUGAUUGGGUUAGAACCAAAGACAUGGCCUCCGUUUUGCUCUUUCCGUGACAUUUCCUCACCGUUCGGUGUGAUUUCAGUAAUUCCACACCCUCUCGACACCAGCCACAGUGGUGAAGGAGCUGCAACAGAAAUCCCCAGCAGCAUGCUCUCAGCUCCAUAUGCAUCUUGAGGAGGAACUGCUGUUUAAAUAUAUAUAUAUACACGCACAAAAAUAAUAAAUGUGUUAUUUUAAUCUAACGUGCGUUGCAGGACUGGUUUUUGCCAGCAAGCAAGACCAGUUCAAAAACUCGUUUUUAAAAAUUCUUAUCUUGCAACAUGGAAUUAUUGUGCGUUGUUGCGUCGACCAAUGAGAGGCAUAGUUUGCACCACGUGACGCCCCUCAGGUGUCGUGGCCGUAUCCAUGGUAACCCC
ensembl:lncRNA